rnacentral:rRNA from 1 species
ACCGGGAAACCGNUGCUAAUACCGAAUACUCUCACUCAGCCGCAUGACUGAAUGAGGAAAGAUUUAUCACUCCGGGACGGGCUCGCGGCCUAUCAGCUUGUUGGUGAGGUAACGGCUCACCAAGGCUACGACGGGUAGCUGGUCUGAGAGGACGAUCAGCCACACUGGGACUGAGACACGGCCCAGACCCCUACGGGAGGCAGCAGUGGGGAAUAUUGCGCAAUGGGCGAAAGCCUGACGCAGCAACGCCGCGUGGAGGAUGAAGGCUUUCGGGUUGUAAACUCCUUUCAGCAGGGACGAAACUGACGGUACCUGCAGAAGAAGCCCCGGCUAACUACGUGCCAGCAGCCGCGGUGAGACGUAGGGGGCAAGCGUUGUCCGGAUUUAUUGGGCGUAAAGAGCUCGUAGGCGGCUUGGCAAGUCGGAUGUGAAAUCUCCAGGCUUAACCUGGAGUCGCCAUCCGAUACUGCUAUGGCUAGAGUCCGGUAGAGGAUCGUGGAAUUCCUGGUGUAGCGGUGAAAUGCGCAGAUAUCAGGAGGAACACCAACGGCGAAGGCAGCGAUCUGGGCCGGUACUGACGCUGAGGAGCGAAAGCGUGGGGAGCGAACAGGAUUAGAUACCCUGGUAGUCCACGCCCUAAACGUUGGGCACUAGGUGUGGGGCCUAUUUCGACGGGUUCCGUGCCGUAGCUAACGCAUUAAGUGCCCCGCCUGGGGAGUACGGUCGCAAGGCUAAAACUCAAAGGAAUUGACGGGGGCCCGCACAAGCGGCGGAGCAUGCGGCUUAAUUCGAUGCAACGCGAAAAACCUCACCUGGGUUUGACAUGUAGGGAAAAGCUGCAGAGAUGCAGUGUCCUUUUUGGGCCCUUCACAGGUGGUGCAUGGCUGUCGUCAGCUCGUGUCGUGAGAUGUUGGGUUAAGUCCCGCAACGAGCGCAACCCUUGCCCUAUGUUGCCAGCGGAUAAUGCCGGGGACUCGUAGGGGACUGCCGGAGUUAAUUCGGAGGAAGGUGGGGACGACGUCAAGUCAUCAUGCCCCUUACAUCCAGGGCUGCACGCAUGCUACAAUGGCCGGUACAAAGGGUCGCCAACCCGCGAGGGGGAGCCAAUCCCAUAAAGCCGGUCUCAGUUCGGAUCGCAGUCUGCAACUCGACUGCGUGAAGUCGGAGUCGCUAGUAAUCCCGAAUCAGCACGUCGGGGUGAAUACGUUCCCGG